rnacentral:ncRNA from 1 species
UUAAAUUCUAAGACGAGAAAAAGUAAGGUAUAAUUUUUGUUCUACAGAGAAUUGGGGUAUGCUGAGAACCAAUGUGCAAUGUGUAUCUGAAAAUCAUCUCCGAGAAGCAAGUCUGAAAAUCAGUAAGACUUGAUGGUUGUCCUACAUUAUAAGGAACACGUAUGAUAGUACGUUGAUGAGUGUCGUUAAAAUGCAUCUAUUUUAACGGAAUUAAGGUGGUAACGCGAGUAUAACUCGUCCUUUUG